GGGGAUAGGUAGUAAUGUUGGUUGAAUUGAAUUGAAUUCUCUCCUUAUCUUACCCACUCCCCCAUAACAAUGUUUUUCCUUAUUGGAUGUCCAUAUUUCCAAGCCAUGGAAUUACUGAAUCAUGAAACUGAAGAUGCUGGAAAAAACAAGCUUUCUCUGAUAAUUCAGGUGAUAUUUCUGUGCCAGACUGAUGGAGAACAGUGAUGAUCACAGCUUUGCAGAUAGAGAGACAGGGCCUUAAUCCUGGCUCUUUUGUGUACUAACCAUGUGACUUUGGCUUUCUUGGGAAUUCCACUGCCAGUUAUGUUAAGGCCAAGGCAAUGGGGUGAACUUGUAUCUGUCACUUAUUCAACAAUGAACCACUCACUGUAUGUCAGCCAUCACACUAGACACAGAGGAUGCAAAGACUUGGUUCUGCUGGGUGAUUCUCAGAGGUGAUCAUGAAGUUGCCACCAAAUAGUGCUGGAACUGGAGUCAUCUUGAAGGUUCAGUUGGGCUAAACAUGGAACAUGGAUCACUCAUAUGGCUGGCAGCUGAUACUGACAAAUAGCCCCGCUAGGACUAUCGGCAGACACAAAAGGGCCUGGUGUACUCCUCUGCUUGCCCAAGACAAAAGGGAGCAAAGAAUGCUACUCGUGUUGGUUACGGAGGAAUUUGAUCCUUCUGAAUAUAUGCCUUGAACCUGAGGCCACAGGGCUAAGUCUGAACUUAGAAAGAUCAGAGCUGUUCAUCUAUCCACUUGCCUAGAAUGGGUGAGGAGGAAUCUUUCAAAUUUCUGCUAUUCCCAGAGGUGCUGGCAAGGAGGUGGAAGGGCUGACUGUCCCCUCCCCGAUGACACACUAUCCCUAGCCUGGUUCCUAGGGAGAAGUUCGUCUGCUAUUCUUCUCAU